rnacentral:rRNA from 1 species
UACGGGGGGGGCAAGCGUUGUUCGGAAUUACUGGGCGUAAAGGGCUCGUAGGCGGCCAACUAAGUCAGACGUGAAAUCCCUCGGCUUAACCGGGGAACUGCAUCUGAUACUGGAUGGCUUGAGUUCGGGAGAGGGAUGCGGAAUUCCAGGUGUAGCGGUGAAAUGCGUAGAUAUCUGGAGGAACACCGGUGGCGAAGGCGGCAUCCUGGACCCGACACUGACGCUGAGGAGCGAAAGCCAGGGGAGGCAAACGGG